GUUUGAAGCCUAAAAUCAGAACCGUAACCGAUUCGCCUACCUGGAUUUACAGGUAGCAUCACAGCCAAGAAAGGCAAGAUGUCGGCUCAACAUAGUUGCAAGAAAAUAUUGAUACUUCUUAUUUUAUGUUUGUCUUUAGUUCUAGAAUGCAGUGCUCAGAUAAGAUGUUACGUUUGUUCAACUCAAUCUGGGGAGUACGCCUCGUUGUGCGGGGACAACUUCAGACUUCAGUCCAUCAAUGCUUACCAGUGUGAGGGAACUUGUCAAAAAACAAGAGGAUAUAGAGAUGAAGGUGGAAGGCGUGUGGUGGAGGUAACAAGAAGUUGCGUACAAUACACUGGGGAUGGCUGCAAGAGUGGUCCUAACCAAGGCAUCAGUGCUGACAUAUGUACCUGCAACGAAGAAUUGUGUAAUCAUGGUGAAAAGAAACAGAUUUCAGCGGCAUAUUUGGCAACAGCUUUGAUUGUAAACCUUAUUUUGUUUUUAUUAUCAAAAGUGUGAGAAUGGAUACAGCUGUUAUGCUGAGCCAUACUAAUCUAGGAUGUGACAUUGGCCCACUAAAAAUGUGAUAUUAUUCUUGCUUGUUGGGUUGUGGGAAUCUGUUUUUUCAUGUGUUCAGCAUAAUACUAUGAAAAAGCUACAUAUUUAAUGUAUUAUUAUCAGAUCAUAGAACAUUUUAUUGGAUCUGAACCAAACAUAAACACAUUACUGUGAAACAGCAUGCCAGUGAUUACAUGAUGACUGCUAUUCUAUUAUUUUACCAAAGUGCAAGCAUGUCUUUAAGCAGACUUGAAGUGGUUGAUCAGCAAUUGGUGUUGGUUGUCUGCCCUAGGUUAUUCUCCUAUCUGAUGUUUUCAUUAUCUGUGAGCUAGUGGUGAAUGGGGACUGUCUUGCAUCACCCAUGGUUCAUCAACGAGUAGGGAGCUGGGGACCGUUUCAAUAAAUAUCGUUGUACACAUUUACGAUGCGAUACAUUUUUCGAAGAUACAUAAUUGCUUAAGUAAAAUCACAUGAUUAUAAAUUUUCAGUACUUAAUUAAUUACAUUGGCAUCUCAAGUGCCGUAUAUAUUUGACAAGCAUGGCGAGCUAGUUCGUCUACUUAUCAAGAUUACAAAAUUCUCUCAUAAGUUAAAAUUGUCGUACAAUCGUUUAUGAAACAGCCCCCAAACUUCAUUUUCCUUUUUAUCUUUUCCAAAAUUAAAAAAAAUACAGGACCAUUAAUUCUGUGGUUUUAUAAUUGGUAAUAUCAGAUCAGGAACACCAUGGUUUUUGUCCAGUUUCAAUUGGAAAAGCUGUUUUAUGAAACUUUGGCAGAUGGUCUAUGAGUUUUAUUAGCUCAGGUUACAAACAACUCUGACUCAUGCUAUAAGAUUCAGAUUUAUUACUUCUUCAAGGCUUAUAAGUGUAAUAAGUACAAAACACUUAUUUCUAGGAUAAAGGCUUCAUGUUUGUCAUAUUGUGACCAGCCUUGCACUCCAAACAAUCUUAAAUCAUAACGUGGUACCUCAAUCACAUAUAUAUUUUAUGUCAUAAUCAUAUACACUUUUUUUUACACACUUUGUGUAUACACCAUUGUGACAGUACUUAUGUUAUGUUAGUUUUUGGUGGGAUUUUUAGUCCCCUACCGGUUUCACCGGAGGGGACUUAUGGUUUUGUCUCCGUCCGUCUGUCCAUUUCACUUUUCUGGAUCCUGCGAUAACUUUAAAAGUUCUUAAUAUUUUUAUGCCCCCCUUCGAAGAAAAGGGGGUAUAUUGCUUUGCACAUGUCGGUCUGUCGGUUGGUCCGUCCACCAGGUGGUUUCCGGAUGAUAACUCAAGAACGCUUGGGUCUAAGAUCAUGAAACUUCAUAGGUACAUUGAUCAUGACUCGCAGAUGACCCCUAUUGAUUAUCAGGUCACUAGGUCAAAGAUCGAGGUCACGGUGACCCGAAAUAGUAAAAUGGUUUCUGUAUGAUAACUCAAGAACGCUUAGGCCUAGGAUCAUGAAACUUGAUAGGUAGAUUGAUCAUGACUCGCAGAUGACCCCUAUUGAUUGUCAGGUCACUAGGUCAAAGGUCAAGGUCACAGUGACCCGAAAUAGUAAAAUGGUUUCCGGAUGAUAACUCAAGAACGCUUAGGCCUAGGAUCAUGAAACUUGAUAGGUAGAUUGAUCAUGACUCGCAGAUGACCCAUAUUGAUUUUCAGGUCACUAGGUCAAAGGUCAAGGUCACAGUGACCCAAAAUAAUAAAAUGGUUUCCGGAUGAUAACUCAAGAACGCUUAUGCCUAGGAUCAUGAAACUUCAUAGGUACAUUGAUCAUGACUGGCAGAUGACCCCUAUUGAUUUUCAGGUCACUAGGUCAAAGGUCAAGGUCACGGUGACGCGAAAUAGUAAAAUGGUUUCCGGAUGAUAACUCAAGAACGCUUAUGGUUAGGAUCAUGAAACUUGAUAGGUAGAUUGAUCAUGACUCGCAGUUGACCCCUAUUGAUUUUCAGGUCAAUAUAUCAAAGGUCAAGGUGACCUGAAAUAGUAAGAUGGUUUCCGGAUGAUAACUCAAGAACGCUAAUGGCUACGAUCAUGAAACUUCAUUGGUACAUUGAUCCUGACUUGCAAAUGACCCCUAUUGAUUUUGUGGUCACUAGGUCAAAGGUCAAGGUCAUGGUGACCCGAAAUAGUAAAAUGGUUUCCGGAUGAUAACCCAAAAAUGCUUAUGCCUAGGAUCAUGAAACUUCAUAGGCACAUUGAUCAUGACUCGCAGAUGACCCCUAUUGAUUUUGAGGUCACUAGGUCAAAGGUCAAGUUCACGGUGACCUGAAAUAAUAAAAUGGUUUCCGGAUGAUAACUGAAGAACGCUUAUUCCUAGGAUCAUGAAACUUGAUAGGUAGAUUGAUCAUGACUCGCAGAUGACCCCUAUUGAUUUUCAGGUCACUAGUUUCAUGAAACUUGGAACAUGGAUAGAUGGCAAUAUGGACAUUAUGCAUGUCAUUUCAUUUCGUUCCUACCUCAAAAAUUAUGGUUGCUAUGGCAACAAAUACACUAGAAAUACUGCUGAAAAUGGUGGUUUUUCUGGAUUCUGCGAUAACUUUUAAAGUUCUUAAUAUUUUUUCAUGAAACUUGAAACAUGGAUAGAUGGCAAUAUGGACAUUAUGCACGUCAUCUCAUUUCGUUCCGACUUAAAAAAAUUCUGGUUGCUAUGGCAACAAAUACACUAGACAUACUGCUGAAAAUGGUGGUUUUCUGGAUCCUGCGAUCACUUUUAAAGUUCUUAAUAUUUUUUCAUGUAACUUGAAACAUGUAUAGAUAGCAAUAUGGACAUUAUGCACGUCAUUUCAUUACGUUCUGACGUCAAAAAUUAUGGUUGCUAUGGCAACAAAUAGAAUAGAAAUACUGCUGAAAAUGGUGGUUUUCUCGAUCCUGCAGUAACUUUUAAAGUUCUUUAUAUUUUUUCAUGAAACUUGAAACAUGGAUAGAUGGCAAUAUGGACAUUAUGCACGUCAUUUCAUUUUGUUCCUAAAUAAAAAAAAAUUGGUUGCUAUGGCAACAAAUAUAUAUAAAAAAAUCUGGAAUUUCUGACAAUGGUGGAGCCAGUAGGGGACUUAUAUUGCUUGACAAUAGUCUUGUUUAUUUCUUGUUUUUUAUUCCAUUUUUUUUUUCAUCAUUCACAUACUAUAUUUGUCAUACAACAUAUUUUGAUUCAAAUUCACAAAAUUGUUUUGUCUGUCUAUGCUGUUGUAAGCUCAUCUGACCACCAAAUCCUCAUGGUGAGCUAUUGUUGUCACCUUGUAUGUCUUGUGUCAUCAACAUUUAGGUUGUUAUUGCACAAGAGGAAAUAUUUCUCAUCCUAUCCUAAUGAGACUUGUUCAGAAUGUAUAACUUAACAAGGGACAAAAUUGUCACAAAACCAGGUUUUCAUUGUGAAAAAAAAAUCUGAUAAAGGGAGAAAACUCAAACUGAACUUUUGAAAUGACCAAAAAAAAUUACCCCCCUUUGUAAUUUUUUUUUUUUUUUAAAUCUAUUUUUAGUCGUGGCGACCUUGACAUUGGAGAUAUUGACGUGAUUCUUUCGUGGGACACACCGUCCCAUGAUGGUGAACAAAUGUGCCAAAUGAUUUUAAAAUCUCACAAUGAAUGACAUAGUUAUGGCCAGGACAAGCUCAUUUAUGGCCAUUUUUGACCUUUGAACUCAAAGUGUGACCUUGACCUUGGAGAUAUCGACGUAAUUAUUUCGCGCGACACACCGUCCAAUGAUGGUGAACAAAUGUGCCAAAUGAUUUUAAAAUCUGACGAUGAACGACAUAGUUAUGGCUCGGACAAGCUCAUUUAUGGCCAUUUUUGACCUUUGAACUCAAAGUGUGACCUUGACCUUGGAGAUAUCGACGUAAUUAUUUCGCGCGACACACCGUCCAAUGAUGGUGAACAAAUGUGCCAAA